UUAUAGCAGAAAGGUAUUGGAUAUCAAGAAUGUUUGAACAGUUUCUCCUUUUUGGGAAUGAAGAUGAAAUUGGGCUAGAAUGAGAUGUGUGAUUGAGAGAAUGUCCCUGAGGCCUGAGCAGUGUGUCCUUUUGGGUAUGGGCAUUGGAAGCAUGUAGUGAAUUCUUAUAAUUUUAUGUUGCCUCGGCAUCCAUCUUGAGUAUAAGUUUAACUUUGUUAUACCAGAAGCAAGGCUUACUCACUUUUGCACAGUUUCCAGUUCUACACCUCCUUCUCGUUCCUCAGUGUGAUUGGUCCAGAUAGCUGCCUUAUCCAACUGCCUCCUUUGGACCACUUCAUCAUGGGACAGCUUGAUGCAAUCUACUUGACAAGACCCUGGAACCCCACACCCCUCAUGGAACCAGUGUCCACCUCCCAGUCACAGUGUGACCCCAGGGAACUCUUGCCUGCUUGCUUUAAACCCACCACUUAAAAGUCUCCACAGAAAACCUGUUUGAAUAGUACCCUUGACCCAAUAAGGGCAUUGGCCCCUGGGUGUCUCUCUCUCUCUCUCUCUCUCUCUCUCCCUCUCUCUCCCUCUCUCUCUCUCGCUCCCUGACCUCUGCGUGUGGACUCCAGGCAUGCCAUAUACCCCUCAGGACCUGAAGCAAAAGAAUGAAUUAAAGAAAACUCCAGAGAAUGAGCUGACAACCUACUCCCUGGUCAGUGGCUCUCCAUGCCUACCUGUGGUCUCUUGGACACCCUUGCAGAUGACUUCCUGGGAACUCUUCUGGGAGUGAAUGUUAUCAGCAAAUUCCCAAAACAACACCCCUUAGACAAAAAGCCUCCUCACCUAUGCAUUGCCUAGACCACCCACUAAAGGUGAUGGCCACAAAGAGGUGGAUUUGUUGAGUUGGUGCCAUUCCUUCUACUGCCAGCUUCACCAAAACAAUGACACAGUCUUCCUUCCGCAUGGAGACUCUUCUCUUUCCUGUGUUGCAGUGGAUGCCUCCUGCAGAUAAGAAAUGCUUAACUGAGAAAUGCUCAUGUUGGGAUAUCAUCGAUGAGACUUUAAUUUGGGCAUGGUGACUGUUUCCCUUGCUGCCACUUGACUCAAUCCCAGGAGCCUCAGUAGAGGAUAUAAUAUUACACAAGAUGCUCAAAAUGGUGGAAUUGCUCAGUGCUCCCAUAAAUAUACAUUUAUAAUUUUCAUUUGCCACAUGGUAAACUGAAAAAUACAGACUAU
rnacentral:lncRNA from 10 species